rnacentral:ribozyme from 1 species
UUUUUUUUUUUUUUUUUUUUUUUUUUUUUUUUUUUUUUUUCCCCUGGCACACCUUGCGCAAUCACCAUCCAAAGAGCAUGGGAUGCUGGAC